CUCUCGCCCCUUCCCCGGCUCUUAGGACGCGACUCUCGCGGUAGCCCCGAGUUAACCCUUCCGCUGUCAGGCCCGUCGCAGGACUAGGGCGCACCCAGGGCAAGAGGGACUAAGGGGCGGCUGGCUACGGACAGGAAAUAAGAGCUCACCUCCAGAUGCCCCGGCUCUGAUGUAAGCUGGGCCAAGGGGGUGGCCGGCAACGGACGCUAAGGUUCAGAAGACGCGCUUCCCGGCAUCCUUAGCGCUCCGGCAGGAGGGCUGGCCGAGCAAGCCAGAACGAUCACCGGGCCCUUGCUUGGGGGAGAGCAGUGGCUGCCCUUGGACCUUGCCCGCCUCUAGCUGUCACUCUCUUUCCUUCCCUUUUAGGACAAAUGGCUUGGAAGAAAGACUUCCCUAAGUUUGGUUUUAGUCCUCUGCCAUUCAUCCUUACCACAUUGUAGGCAGCAAACCGCCAACAAGGCAUUCUCAUCCCUCCAACUCAAUUCACUAGAGAUCGCCCCUCUCCCCACAGCUUUCCACUUUCCGUCUUCUAGGGCCUCCUCUCAGCAGCCAGGUUCAUGCUGCUCCGUACUUCUGGGAAUCUGGUAUCGCUGACUUCCGGGAUCCUCUUCUCUCCUCUCUUCUUGCUUCUUCCCAGUUCCCAUUCACAGUCUAGCUCGUUAUUUCUAUACCUUGGAAGUACUCAUGAAGCUCUGAGCUCUGCUGCAUUGGAUAUCAUCUUGUGAACUGUUCAAGGGCAGGAUGACCAACAACU
rnacentral:lncRNA from 1 species